rnacentral:lncRNA from 1 species
AAAAUUCUAGAUCUUCUGUUUUCAUCCCGAUUUCAGCACAAGUCACUUCUGACUUAUGUUUUACUUCUCUAAAUCCAAUAAAAUAGUAUCUCAUACUAUUUUUACUUAUUUUCACUUUUAUAUUAAAAAUCCGGUAUGUUACAUUCCACCGCAGCCUCACCGGAACCAUUUAAAUGGCUUUCCAAUCGAACGUACACUGUAACCUCAUGAUUUUCGAAGUCCGGUAUCUUACAGAAUUACUAGUUGGUUGUAUAGUUGCAUUAUUGCAUGAUCUUCAUAUUGCAUAUCGCGAGGCAAUGCAUGGUAUUGUUAGUUGCAUAAUCCUAUUAUCAUAUCUAUCUGUUUAUUGAACUAACCUGCAGCUUGCCUCCUUCGGACCUGUCGGUCGAGGUUUUCCCUUGGGUGGCCGUACCCACUGGGAACUAUAGAGUUAGUUCUCACCCCACGUUGCUUUUGGGGUGUUACAGGUUCACACGUGAGCGGCGCGAGGCGAGGGCGUAGCUUCGUAGAUAGCGCCCAACCACCGUUACCAGAGAUAGCGGUACCCAAGUCAGCCAAGCUAGGGGUUGUAGAAAAGGAAAGCAAAAGGAUCAAACUUGUAAUAAUUUUGUGAUGAUUGAUUGUAUUCGGAAGUUUAAAUGUAUUUGAAAGGAAAAGAAAUGUAAAUAAUAUCAAGUGAAUGAAUGUAAUAACUUAGGAUGUGUUUAUAUUGUUUGAUACCUUUCUUAUGCAAUCGUUGUAUGUUGAAUACUGUUCCUGGUUGGAACCUGUUGUAAUUGUAUUGAUUGCGACGCCUAGGACGUACAGGGAAAACUCUGUCCGUUCGGCGGUCUGUCGACGUGUCGA